UACGGAGGUUCCUAGCGUUGUUCGGAAUUACUGGGCGUAAAGGGAGCGCAGGCGGAUUGUUAAGUUUAAAGUGGAAGCCCGGGGCUCAACCUCGGACGUGCUUUGAAUACUGGCAGUCUUGAGUUUGUGAGAGGAAAGCGGAAUUCAGGGUGUAGCGGUGAAAUGCUUAGAUAUCCUGAGGAACACCAGUGGCGAAAGCGGCUUUCUGGCACAUAACUGACGCUGAGGCUCGAAAGCGUGGGGAGCGAACGGG
rnacentral:rRNA from 1 species